rnacentral:rRNA from 1 species
GAUGAACGCUAGCGGCAGGCUUAAUACAUGCAAGUCGUGGGGCAGCAGGUUUGUAGCGAUACAGAUGCUGGCGACCGGCAAACGGGUGCGGAACACGUACAGAACCUUCCUUUGAGCGGGGAAUAGCCCAGAGAAAUUUGGAUUAAUACCCCAUAGUAUAAUGAAGUGGCAUCACUUUAUUAUUAAAGAUUUAUCACUCGAAGAUGGCUGUGCGGCUGAUUAGGUAGUUGGCGGGGUAAAGGCCCACCAAGCCUGCGAUCAGUAACUGGUGUGAGAGCACGACCAGUCACACGGGCACUGAGACACGGGCCCGACUCCUACGGGAGCAGCAGUAAGGAAUAUUGGUCAAUGGAGGCAACUCUGAACCAGCCAUGCCGCGUGGAGGAUGAAGGUCCUCUGGAUUGUAAACUUCUUUAUAUGGGACGAAAAAAGGCUUUUCUAAGUCGUCUGACGGUACCAUAUGAAUAAGCACCGGCUAACUCCGUGCCAGCAGCCG